rnacentral:sRNA from 1 species
GUGGAGGAGGACCCGCUGAAGGCUGCCGAACUCCUCGAGAAGGUAAUUGAGGAGAAGAGGAAGGCACCUCGGAAUCUGAUGCUAAUUUAGAAACAUUUUUUAAUU